GACGAACGCUGGCGGCGUGCUUAACACAUGCAAGUCGAACGGAAAGGCCCUGCUUUUGUGGGGUGCUCGAGUGGCGAACGGGUGCGUAACACGUGAGUAACCUGCCCUUGACUUUGGGAUAACUUCAGGAAACUGGGGCUAAUACCGGAUAGGAGCUCCUGCUGCAUGGUGGGGGUUGGAAAGUUUCGGCGGUUGGGGAUGGACUCGCGGCUUAUCAGCUUGUUGGUGGGGUAGUGGCUUACCAAGGGUUUGACGGGUAGCCGGCCUGGGAGGGUGACCGGCCACAUGGGUACUGAGGGACGGACCAGACGCCUACGGGAGGCAGCAGGGGGGAAUAUUGCACAAUGGGCGGAAGCCGGAUGCGGCAACGCCGCGUGCGUGAUGACGGCCUUCGGGGUGUAAAAAGCUUUCGCCUGUGACGAAGCGUGAGUGACGGUAAUGGGUAAAGAAGCACCGGCUAACUACGUG
rnacentral:rRNA from 1 species